rnacentral:rRNA from 1 species
AUGAAGGCGUUGGGGCUGCGUGAAGAGGAUCUAGACGACGUCGUGUUCGAUGAGAAAGAUGAUCCACCUGCGGCUGCUCGUUGGAUAGCGCUGGCUAGGGUUCAUACAGCAAAAACCUAUAGCCAGACUUGGUUCUAUAAAAAUAUGAGGGCUGCUUGGGAUUUGGCGCAGGAAGCUAAAUUCAGGCCGCUGGAAGACAAUCUUUACACCAUCCAGUUCACAUGUUUGGGAGAUUGGGAAAGAGUUAUGCAGGACGGACCAUGGCACUUCCGAGGCGAUGCCGUGAUCAUCAAGGAAUAUGAUGGGGUGACUAAACCCUCAACCAUCAAUCUCGACAUCAUGGAGAUUUGGAUCCAAAUCCAUGACGUCCCUAAUCUAUAUGCUCACCUAGUUUCUCCGUUGGCGGCAAAAGUAGGCGAGGUUCUGUUUGCCGAGCCCCCAUCUCAGGAUUUCCCUGGUAUUUCUAUCGUGUGUGGAUCAGAAUUAAUGUCACCAAACCUCUCGAGAAUGCAGUGUCCCUGA